rnacentral:rRNA from 1 species
AGGGUUUGAUCCUGGCUCAGAACGUACGCUGGCGGCACGCCUAACACAUGCAAGUCGAACGAAGUAGCAAUACUUAGUGGCAGACGGGUGAGUAACAUGUAGGUAUCUGCCCUUUGGCCUGGAAUAACACGAGGAAACUUGUGCUAAUACUGGAUAAGUCUUUACGGAGAAAGCUUUAUGCACCAUUGGAUGAGCCUGCACUUGAUUAGUUUGUUGGUAGGGUAAUGGCCUACCAAGACUUUGAUCAAUAGCUGAUUUGAGAGGAUGAUCAGCCACAUUGGGACUGAGACACGGCCCAAACUCCUACGGGAGGCAGCAGUGGGGAAUCUUGCACAAUGGAGGAAACUCUGAUGCAGCGAUGCCGCGUGAGUGAAGAAGGCCCUUGGGUUGUAAAGCUCUUUCGUCGGGGAAGAAAAUGACUGUACCCGAAUAAGAAGGUCCGGCUAACUUCGUGCCAGCAGCCGCGGUAAUACGAAGGGACCUAGCGUAGUUCGGAAUUACUGGGCUUAAAGAGUUCGUAGGUGGUUGAAAAAGUUGGUGGUGAAAUCCCAGAGCUUAACUCUGGAACUGCCAUCAAAACUUUUCAGCUAGAGUUGAUAGAGGAAAGCAGAAUUUCUAGUGUAGAGGUGAAAUUCGUAGAUAUUAGAAAGAAUACCAAUUGCGAAGGCAGCUUUCUGGAUCAUUACUGACACUGAGGAACGAAAGCAUGGGUAGCGAAGAGGAUUAGAUACCCUCGUAGUCCAUGCCGUAAACGAUGUGUGUUAGACGUUGGAAAUUUAUUUUCAGUGUCGCAGCGAAAGCGAUAAACACACCGCCUGGGGAGUACGACCGCAAGGUUAAAACUCAAAUGAAUUGACGGGGACCCGCACAAGUAGUGGAGCAUGUGGUUUAAUUCGAAGAUACGCGCAGAACCUUACCAACACUUGACAUGUUCGUCGCGACUUUAAGAGAUUAAAGUUUUCGGUUCGGCCGGACGAAACACAGGUGCUGCAUGGCUGUCGUCAGCUCGUGUCGUGAGAUGUUGGGUUAAGUCCCGCAACGAGCGCAACCCUCACUUUUAGUUGCCAUCAUUUAGUUGGGCACUCUGAAAGAACUGCCAGUGAUAAGCUGGAGGAAGGUGGGGAUGACGUCAAGUCCUCAUGGCCCUUACGUGUUGGGCUACACACGUGCUACAAUGGUAUCUACAACAGGAAGCAAAACGGCGACGUUAAGCAAAUCCUUAAAAGAUACCUCAGUUCGGAUUGCACUCUGCAACUCGAGUGCAUGAAGCUGGAAUUACUAGUAAUCGUGGAUCAGCGUGCCACGGUGAAUGCGUUCCCGGGUCUUGUACACACCGCCCGUCACACCAUGGGAGUUGGUUCUACCUUAAGGCAAGGUUUAAUACCCUUGACCACGGUAUAGUCAGCGACUGGGGUGAAGUCAUAACAAGGUAACCGUA